rnacentral:tRNA from 1 species
GUGGGUACAGCUCAAGUGGCAGAGUGCAUGCUUAGCAUGCACAAGGUCCUGGGUUCAAUCCCCAGUACCUCCU